rnacentral:lncRNA from 1 species
CAGAUCGGAUUUUUGGAUCAAAGAGCUAGCUUCAAGCUCUUUUCAAGGUCACUAGUUUGGUUUCAUUAGGGUUUGUAAGGGGAGAGCAAUUGCUACUCAAAGUUAGUGUUUAUUUUGGUGUUUCGGAUUUUAUAUUAAACAUUGAUGGUUUGCAUUCUCAGUCGGUUUGUGCAAGUCGUGUAGCAUCUAUGGGUCAAAAUUUGGUAUUGUUUGGAUAGUUGGGUGUGCUAAAUGUAGACAAAAUUUUUUGUUAAUCUAA